GGAAGCUCUCUGUGUACUGAUGGGGACAGAAGUUCCAGGACAUUUUGUAAGGUGGCUGAAAAACAAGACAGAUGCUUCCAGAAUCAAUCACCGAAUGGUGGAUCUACAGCCAACCACCCAUUCUCUUCAGUCACUGAGAUGAUAUGAUGCUGCUGGUCCAAGGACUACAUUUCGAGAACCCCAACCACGCAUGGAUUGUUGUCAACUAUGAAUCACAAGAUUUCCAGGGUUUUGUCUGCUGCCUUCCCUGCAAGCCCUGCCAUCCACUGAGACCCAACCUCAGCCAUUCUUGGCACAUCAGCCCAUGAGAAGUCUGCCACUCUUUCUUCCUAAGCAAAGCAGCAUCCUUCAGGGCCUGGAGCUCCUGGACACAAAAGCCAUUUUUGGGAGUUCUGGAAAACAGUGAACACUGUAGGAUUACUGCUUGUGGAUAAUCAUCCAAAUUGAUCCAAAAUGUUCUUCAUUGACUCCUGAGUCAACUCAAGUCAAUGUCAAUGGAAACCAACAUUCACCAUCGCACCAAAGCUCAUCUCUACCAGGUUAAAGCAGCCAUUGUGUGCCCAUCUCCCUGCCAAGCCCUACUGAUUGCUCUGUUUAUUAAAUCUCUACUGGCUUCUGUUUUGCAUUUUUAUAUUCUGCCCAACAAAGGAUAUGCUGUUCUUCACUAAGAUCCCUUGAUUAAAAAUCCAAGACUGAGUCAUCUUGCCACUCUCACCAAUGCUAAACCCUGUUCCUGGAUUCUCAUCCACUUCAACUUCCUCCUCCAUUCCCCUUAUGAAGAGGGGAUCUGAAAUCCGUAUGUUUCAUAUUGUCAAACACAUAUGCACAUGUAUAAACGGUAUAUCCUGAAGGCCUGAGGAUGGGGAGAGGGAAAGUGGGCAGCUGGGACCUGCCAUUCUCCUGAUAUUACAUGGUGCCACAAAAAUGAGCUUCAGGCAUUAGCGAAUAAUCAGACUCUGAGUUCUAGAUCCAAACUUUUACACAGCAUGGGAGAGAGCCAGGACUGGCCAGACUCCAUUGAGCAAACAGAGAAGGCUCUUGUGAUCUCGGGAUUUAAGGAUUAGAUUUCCUGGGGUGGGAAAUCACCAUUGCACUAUCAAGCCCAUCAGGAAAACACCUCAGGGGCUUCACCAAAACAGGGAAGCCUAGUAUUCCAGGUGCAAAAGGCCCCUGCCUUGGCAUUGCGAACAUGGUGGUCCCUGAGGGUAGCGUUUCAAAUUUUGCCUGUGAGUGCCACUGCGUUUCAAAAGCUUCUCCUCUUUAAAAAUGGAAAUGAAUUGUCAGACUUCUCAGAAAUACCGAGUAGAAGCUCUUUCACAGAAAAUCAACAUCAUUGAUAUCACUCUGAUAGGUGAUCUAACCAGUUCUCUGGCUGCCGGACAGGGCCAACCUAGG
rnacentral:lncRNA from 1 species